rnacentral:misc_RNA from 1 species
AUUUCAACCAAAAAAAAAAAAAUUGCCAGAAUAAAAGUAGAGAAACUUUAUUACGAAAAGGGUAUGUUCAAUAGUAAAAUGAUUGCUCAAUGGGAUACUUGGACAACCUACCUCUGCACACAAGCCAUACAAAAUAUAAAUACAAUAUCUCUGACUCAAAAUGACUACAAAAUCAUACUCCCUCAAUCCCAUUUCACGUUUGUUAAGGUUUUUGCAUAAGGAUUAAGGAAAUGAU